rnacentral:lncRNA from 1 species
GGGUGCGGCGGCGGCGCUGAGCGGGCCGGGCCGAGUGCGGAGGAGAUAAUAAAACCUUGAAAUAAAACCACCAUGAGGAGACUCCUGGAGGUGAUGCUAUGUUCCCUGUCUGUUGGUUUCACAAUUACGCACAUAUAAAACUCAUCAAAUUGUACACUCAGGCUUCCUGAAGUCCCCUUAUGGCUGGGCUGUGGUGGCUCAUGCCUGUAAUCCCAGCACUUUGGGAGGCCAAGGAGGGUGGAUUCCUUGAGGUCAGGAGUUCGAGACCAGCCUGGGCA